UACGUAGGAGGCGAGCGUUGUCCGGAAUUACUGGGCGUAAAGAGCGUGUAGGCGGUUCGGUAGGUCCGUUGUGAAAACUCGAGGCUCAACCUCGAGACGCCGAUGGAAACCAUCGAACUAGAGUCCGGAAGAGGAGAGUGGAAUUCCUGGUGUAGCGGUGAAAUGCGCAGAUAUCAGGAAGAACACCCGUGGCUAAGGCGGCUCUCUAGUACGGUACUGACGCUGAGACGCGAAAGCGUGGGGAGCGAACAGG
rnacentral:rRNA from 1 species